rnacentral:rRNA from 1 species
ACGGAAGGCAGCAGUGGGGAAUAUUGCACAAUGGGCGCAAGCCUGAUGCAGCGAUGCCGCGUGAGGGAAGAAGGUUUUCGGAUUGUAAACCUCUGUCAUCGGGGACGAUAAUGACUGUACCCGAGAAGGAAGCUCCGGCUAACUACGUGCCAGCAGCUGCGGUAAUACGUAGGGAGCGAGCGUUAUCCGGAAUUACUGGGUGUAAAGGGAGUGUAGGCGGGACUGUAAGUCAGAUGUGAAAUAUGCCGGCUCAACUGGCAGACUGCAUUUGAAACUGCGGUUCUUGAGUGAAGUAGAGGUAAGCGGAAUUCCUAGUGUAGCGGUGAAAUGCGUAGAUAUUAGGAGGAACAUCAGUGGCGAAGGCGGCUUACUGGGCUUUAACUGACGCUGAGGCUCGAAAGCGUGGGGAGCAAAUAGGAUUAGAUACCCUGGUA